UGAAUGAAAGAUCAAGAAGUGUCUGUAAUGGCAGCAACAGUGUCCUUCAGAUGAUUUCAAAUGCUUAAGAGAAGGAUAUUGAUUGUAAUUGCAGUUCUAAACACUUGGAUGAUCGAUGUCAUCCAUGUUGCCUCACACAAUCCAGGCGUAAGUACUUUUCAUUAGAAAUAUAUUUGCGCCACCGACUUGAGACGGGGAGAAGCGGUGUCUCGAUUGCUGCUUGUAUUCUUGAAGUUUUAAUGAAUCAAGUAGCAGCUCUUUCAAAUGGAUUGAAAUUAUUUUUUGAGACCUUGAUCUGAGGCGGCCUGCUUGUUAGCUGGGAAGCCGCCUCUGCACCGGACAGUAUCAGUUAAACUCUGGCUUUGAUCCAUCAUGUGUUCCAUUCUUCCUUUGAAAGUGAUGGAACCCAUUGCCAUUUCCGCUUACCUUUUCAGUUUGAACCUCUUCAUCACUAGGCCAAUUUCUUUGAGUUAUUUCCUGAAAAUAAUAUUCCCAAAGUAAUUGGUGUAUCUCCACAACUGUGAGUAAUGUCUAAUAAUAUUUAAUAUCCAAAAGAAAGAACAUCUGAGAUUGUUACGUAAGUGAAACAUGUGGAUACUGCUUGGUUAGUGAAUAAAGCUAGAACACGGCAUAACCCUAGAUUUUAGAUUGAAAAUAGUGCAUAAUCAUUGUGCUAGUAGUGCUUGGGGAAAACCCAAUGAGGUGGCAUUGUUACUCCACGGCCAUCUUAAGUAUUGAUAUAAAUUAUGAACUCAGAGCCAUUAUACACAAUACAAAAAUUGACAUUCAUUCAGCACAUUCAUCAACUCAUGUAAAACGGUUCUUAUUCCAACAACAUUUCAAAGUUAAAAAGAAAUAGUAAUGCUCAGGUAUUCUAACUGUGGGCCCUCCUAUGUCUGCUACCUUAACCUCCCCUACCGUGGACUGCUUGAGGAAACGUGUUCCUGAUGGGCGCUGGUGGAGCCAUGACGAGAGCCGGUGCAGCGUCAGAGGCCACUUGUUAUGACACCCCCCUAACCCUAGCCCCCGAAAGGGCAAGGAAGAAAAGACGAAAACAGAAGAGGGGUCCUCCUUCCAGAGAUGGUUAGGACUGCAAUGCGUGUGAAAAUGGAACGACAUAAUGGUAGCACAACAAGAACCACUGUUUAAAUGAAGGUACAAUUCUAGAAAUUAGCAAUGUCCCUGGUGGUAUAUAGUUGCAGGUGCAGGUCUUCAAACAGACAUCAAUAGUUAGAUUCGCCACGGCGGAGGAGCAAGCAAGUAACAUCUCUAAUCCAGUACCUAUUGGAAGCAGGGGAAGGCUUGGGAUUUCAAACAAGUUGAUUAAGUUGGAAAGAGCUGAGGGACACACACUGGGAAAGUAAAGAACAAGGUUUCAUGUCUGUAUUUCAAUUCAUCAGGAGAGUCAGCCCCCCUGGUUACAGGGGGCAAACAGGGCGCCCGAUUAGAGAACACUGUUUCCUAACUUUCGUAAUUUAAAGGAGGGCAGCUCCUGAAGGAUUGUAUUUAAAAAUGUAUAGUUGUGUUUUUGACUUUAGUCAUAUCUGAAUAAGGGGGAUUAUUUAUAAACUUGGAUGAAAUGUUAAUUGACUUAACAUAUACAAAGAUUUUUUGCAUAAUAACUAGAGCUGUCAAGCGAUUAAAAUAUUGAAUCGUGAUUAAUCGCAUUAAUGUCAUAGUUAACUCUAAUUAAUCGCGAUUAAUCGCAAAUAAUUUUUCUAUGCUAAAUAUCCCUUGAUUUUUUUGUCCGAUAAUCCUUCUCAUUUUAAUUCCCUUAUCAACAUGGUGAAGUGUAUCGGCUUGCCUUGUGCAAAUGAUUUUUUAUUGAUAACAACAUUGGCAUAUACACUGAUCAAAACAGGACGAUACAAAAAAAGAGCCUAUAGUGCAAUUAAACGACUGCUUUGAACAAAUGUCAUUUGAACAUAGCAGUCAGGCUACUGCUUCUUUGUUUUGAGCCAAAGAAAAAAAAAAAAAAAAAUAAUAAUUGCGUUAAUCGCGCGAUAAAAUUUUUAACACCGUUAAAUUUGGUUUGCGUUAACGCCGUUAAUAACGCGUUUAACUGACAGCUCUAAUAAUAACACAUUAGAGCAGAGAAUAGGAUGAAUGAAGAAGUAUGGCCACAAUGAUUGUAAAAGUGAAUCUGGUGUAUUCUAUCAUAUCUCUUUGAGGGGAUCCAAAUCCGAGAACAGUUGAUGCCAACAUAAUGUUCAAGAAGAUCAAGGAGAAUGCAUUGGGGCUGAGAUCAAGCAGCCCCAGGGAGCAGGGAGCCUGCAUGCUGUCCGGUGGGAGGGACAAGGAGUUAGGCCCAAGGACUUGCAGCAGCCUGUGAUACAGUGAACCACCAGAUCCUCUUCUCCACUCUCCAGGAACUGGGAAUCUCUGGCUCUGCACUCAACCUGUUCACAUCCUACCUCACGGUCAGCAUUUACAGGGAAAGCUGUGCCGCUAACAGAUCAUCGUACAUCUAUGAUAUAGUGUGACGAUACUAGGUGUGAUGCCACACAGAGGGGGCGGUGUUGAGGUGCUCAUCACAGGUAAGUAGCAACAGCUGAGGGGGGCAGGGGUCUCUCAGAGUUUGAGACUGAGGCCCCGUCCACACGAAGCCGAUUUCAUGGCGAAACCGCAAAGGUCUUGUACGGUUCGGCCUUCCGUCCACACGAAGCCGGCGAAUCCGCUGACCGAAACCGUAAACUUCUGAAACCACCCUCGGAGGUGGUUUCAAAUCUACCCGGUUUCGUUUUGGAUUCGUGUGGACGCCUGAAACCGACUGAAACCGUAAACCAUGACGUCAUCGCCCCACCCCUCGACCCUCUAGCCAAUGACUGUUAAGCCCGCGGAGUCUCAGAACUCACAACAACAAGGAUUUAUGUUGCAGAAGCAGCGCCCCUUAUGGGCCAGGCAUGUGUACUACAGCGUUUCUACAGAUCUACCCGGUUUCGCUUGGCUUCGUCUUUACGGAGAUACUGCGAAACCGGAUAGAUCGAAACCGUAACGGUUUCGCCUGUUUCGGCUUCGUGUGGACGGGGCCUGAGUGGAGAGUGCCUGGUUUCAGCAGGUGAGUUCUGGUGAACGGAAGUAACCCGAUGGACACACGUUUUGGCGACUUCGAGGAGAGAACCUUUUUUGAAUUUUUGUAUACAUGGUGGAAUUGAAAGACGCUGGCUGGUCACCUGGAUACGAGGUGCCGGUGCAGCAGAACACAGAGCUGUUUGCCUACGGUGGCUGUGGACCAGUGGUGAGUACCUCGCACCCAACCCUUGGAAUGCACUCACCUUGGGAAAGAUUAGGAAGAAUACUCAAGUUCAGCACACCACGCUGGGAAAGACAUCGGUUACGGGCUGUCUACCCAGGUUAAUGAGUGUGGCAGGUCGGCAUGGUAACAUAUAGUCAAACCCUACACCCGAGCCCGUCCACUAUGAUCGAUAACUGCCAAACUUCUUGCUACUCCCUCACUACUUGACAAUCUGACCUCAGGACAGCUGAAUUCGUACCCAUCUUCUGGCGCAGACUGAAGCCUGUAUUUUCAGACUGCGUCUUUGUGAAUGAAAAGGAAAAAAAUAAACCCAGUCUCUAUCUUGUUUCUAAAUGGUAGCUUUAUUAAACUUUUUGAAGGUGUUUGUACUUAAACAUUUAUCUUCAUGGUUGAAUGCACUGACUUAAGCGUCGUAGGUAGGCAUAGUUUAGACCAAAAUGGACAAAUGAGGGGAGGAGGAUAAACAAUAAAACUAAUAAAAAUAUCCUAUACUAAUUAUUUUGAUAUAUAUUCAUCUAACUUUUUUUUUGUGACUUUUGAUCUAUGAAUAUAGAAUUUGCGUUUGCCAUUCCUCUCUCCGCGUACAUACCCUUGCAGCCUACCAUCACAGACACUUCAGCAUAGGGCCCAUAGCAGCUGUAGUUAGUAGAUAGAACGUUUCUGGAAGUGCAUCAUAUGGUUUCUAGUGAAAUCCCUUUACACGAUGUCUGGCGUUAUUAAUCUAAUAUUAUCGUAAGUAGGCCUAUUAGUUUAAAUAAUAAUCAGUCAUUUAUGUAGAGCAUACAGCCAGACAUCUGGUUGCGUUGCUCACCUGUUGCGGUCGCCCGAGCGUGUACAGGCCUUUAGAAGCCUUCCCAUCAGGGUGGCGUUCAGACUAAUUCACACAAGCAAGAGACACACGACUAUAGAUUCUAAAACAAGUUUUUAUUGGUCCAUUUACAGAAAGUGCUGUAGUGACCAUUCAAAAGGAAAUCAGACCAAAGAGUCCAGAAAAAUAACAAAUAAAUAAAUAAAAAAGGUUUUACACAUUGUACAAGAUUGUUUAUCUUUUUGUAAUCUUCUAUUUUUCACCCUUCUCCUCUUCUAAAAACGAACGGCAGACAACAUUAGGA